UGCUGUGGUAGCCAUGUCAGUAGACAGUUGAUGUUUCAUAAUAUUUUUGCCGUUUCCCUAUCUUCACUCACCAGUCUUCACAACAGCAGACAACAGCACAAUUUUAGUCACUGCAGUCAACACAACGAGCGACAAUACAACAUCUAGCCCGCCGGACAGAAACUCUACUAAUAUAACUCCACUCACUUCAACUGCAUCCCUCAUUAUCACAAACAGCAGUGCUGCAACUACAUCAACAAGUCUCACCACUUCAGCAUCUACAGUUGCUACAGGUUGUUCGGGUCCACCAGAUCUAUGUUGCCCAGGGCGCAACGACUCCUGCUACAGAGGGUGUUUCUGUGACGAGAUCUGCGUGACAUUGGGUGACUGCUGUCCUGACUAUAAUUCAACCUGUAAACAAUCAAACAGUACAACACUUGCACCACUUAAUGUGACCACAACCUCAGGAUCCAGUCUUUCUUCAACAUUUUCUCCCACCUCUAGUAAUUCAGCUAUAGCGAUUGUUCGCCUAAAAGUUUCCUUACUAUCUAAUUCUGAAGCCAAAGAACAAGCGAUUUUAGAAAUUUCAUCGUUUCUUCAGAGACUUGUCCAGCAGAGAUGUAAUGGCUGCGCCGUGACGGUAAAACCUGUGUGAGGCUUUGGACAAUUAAAGAAUUAGAAUGAGGCAACAUGGUGAUGACAGACUCCAACACUCACAAUAAAAUCUAAUCAAACCGGUAAAGCUAAUUGACUAUUUCAGAAUAAGGUGACAGACAUUUGUUCUUAAGUUACCAGUAUAUGCAUGUUUCUAAGUUCUUAUAAUCAGGCCAACAAAAGCUUAUAUUUAAGGAUGUAUUACACAGUUAUGAAUAUUUACCGUAUAUAGAGACAUAGGGUUUUUUUAGGUGGAGGUACAAGAUUUUUUUAAAAUAAAGUUUAAUAAUGGAAUAAUUUUUUAAAAAAAGAAAAGAAAUUCUAACAAUCAUUUGACAGAAGAAUAACUCACCAUACAAAUCCAGUCUGCUCUGGUCAAGGAACGAGACACACUGCCAAACAUGUUUGCAUUACUCUAUUUUUUUCUGUGUUACAUUAAGUUGUGGAAGUUAAGCGGCUGCAAUAAAAUUAUAACGCAUUAUUUAAAAUAACAUUUUAGCAGUGCCGUUAGAAUUUUCCAGAUGA